GGGAGACCGCCUAGGCUCGGCCGGCAGCUUUAAGAUAGGCGGCGAGGGAAGGCUUCUCAGAGGUGGUGACAAGUAUGCUGAGGCCCGAAUGAUGGGAAGAAACCCGCAACGCGAAGACUGCCUACUCCAGAGAACCUUCUCUGACUGCACAUUCCUCGUGCCUCUGAGCCCUCCCAGCCCUACCCCAUGUGACCCAAAUCACCUCUCAGCCCCCUUACGAUGGGCAGGCACUCUUCAUCAACAGAGGUCUGGGAUUCAUUCUGAUUGGGCCAGCUUUGGUCAUGUGCUCCUCCCUGAACCAAUCACUCAAGUGGCGAUGACGAAUUUACCCUGAUUGGCCAGGCCUGGGUCACGUGCGCAUCUCUA